AGAGUUUGAUCCUGGCUCAGGAUGAACGCUGGCGGCAUGCCUAAUACAUGCAAGUCGAACGAGAGGAAGGAAAGCUUGCUUUUCUGAAUCUAGUGGCGAACGGGUGAGUAACACGUAGGUAACCUGCCCAUGUGCCCGGGAUAACUUCUGGAAACGGAUGCUAAAACCGGAUAGGUAGCAGACAAGCAUUUGACUGCUAUUAAAGUGGCUAAGGCCAUGAACAUGGAUGGACCUGCGGUGCAUUAGCUAGUUGGUGAGGUAACGGCCCACCAAGGCGACGAUGCAUAGCCGGCCUGAGAGGGCGGACGGCCACAUUGGGACUGAGACACGGCCCAAACUCCUACGGGAGGCAGCAGUAGGGAAUUUUCGUCAAUGGGGGGAACCCUGAACGAGCAAUGCCGCGUGAGUGAAGAAGGUCUUCGGAUCGUAAAGCUCUGUUGUAAGAGAAAAACGACAUUCAUAGGGAAUGAUGAGUGAGUGAUGGUAUCUUACCAGAAAGUCACGGCUAACUACGUGCCAGCAGCCGCGGUAAUACGUAGGUGGCGAGCGUUAUCCGGAAUGAUUGGGCGUAAAGGGUGCGUAGGUGGCAGAACAAGUCUGGAGUAAAAGGUAUGGGCUCAACCCGUACUGGCUCUGGAAACUGUUCAGCUAGAGAACAGAAGAGGACGGCGGAACUCCAUGUGUAGCGGUAAAAUGCGUAGAUAUAUGGAAGAACACCGGUGGCGAAGGCGGCCGUCUGGUCUGUUGCUGACACUGAAGCACGAAAGCGUGGGGAGCAAAUAGGAUUAGAUACCCUAGUAGUCCACGCCGUAAACGAUGAGAACUAGGUGUUGGGGGAAUAACUCAGUGCCGCAGUUAACGCAAUAAGUUCUCCGCCUGGGGAGUAUGCACGCAAGUGUGAAACUCAAAGGAAUUGACGGGGGCCCGCACAAGCGGUGGAGUAUGUGGUUUAAUUCGAAGCAACGCGAAGAACCUUACCAGGCCUUGACAUCCCUUGCAGAGGUAUAGAGAUAUAUCCGAGGUUAACAAGGAGACAGGUGGUGCAUGGUUGUCGUCAGCUCGUGUCGUGAGAUGUUGGGUUAAGUCCCGCAACGAGCGCAACCCUU
rnacentral:rRNA from 1 species